AGUACACUGCAGGUGUGUCUGUAGAGGGCAAGAAGGCUCUUGCAGAGUCCUAUCUCAGUGGAGGGGAAGAUUAAAGCAGGAAAGGGAACAAAGUUCUUCAGGCAGGGAGGUCUGGGAAAGGCCCUGACUAACCAGUGAAGUGAGUGGGAGACUUAGAGGGGAACUUGAGAAAAGGGAUGGGAAGUGGCUCAGGGAUAACUACAGCAAAGGUGAAGUUGUAGCCCUAGCUGUUGGUACAAGGCCUAGGCUAGAAUCUAGAGUCAAGGAUAGGACUGGGUUCCCUUACUAGCCCCUGGGAACGGGCCUACAAACCCCUAGAACUGCUUGUUGAGGCCAGCAAGGGGGCUGCAGGCUGAACUGAGGAUAGGCUAAGGAAGAGCCCCUGACAGGGUAGAAGGCCUUCCUUCUGUUAAAGAAACUUUUAGUUUGGGCCAAUGGCAUCCCCAAAGGGGUGGACUAGAGCUGAUGACCCGAACAGAAGGCUGAGUCAUCAGGCAGAGAAAUCACCAUAGCACCGGAGUGCUCGUCGGUAGGUGAUGCUAGCCUAGUGAGAGAACUGCAAUGCCCUGAGGGGUACGUGGCGGUUCUUGGAGCUAAUAUCUUGGCCUACUCCUCCUCCUCAAAUAGAAGAUCUGAAAAUAUUUUUUUUUAAUCCAUGGAGGCUGACAUUUUAAUCAGACAAAGUCAAGAAAUUCAGAAUUAUGGAGCUAGAUCACCAGUCCUCACUAAGUGCUGUUCCAGGAGUACAAUGGGCACUAAAGAGACAACCACUCCUGGCCCCCAGAAGCUGGCUGGGACUCUGGGCUCCCAAUAAUUUUGGUACUCUGCGGGGACAGAUGUGUCAUGAUGGGUGUACGUGCACUGGUCCCACCUACGCCACUAGCCUGUGGCCUGUGAGGGAGCGGAGGCCAGAAUGGAGGAAAUGCAGAGGAGCUGCCUGAGUUUUACUACGUGCUUUGAGGCAGCCUCCUGCGUUCAACCUUAUGCAGAGAGGGAAGCAGCCUGGUCUGGGACAGGGCACUCAAGGAUGAACAAGCUUCAUAGGCUCAGCAUGAGAUCAGCCCAGCCCAGCCCAGUUACUUAUUUAUGAAUCACCGGGGGUCCAGGAAGCAGAGAGGAUCUGUUCACAGAACCACACAGGGACUGGGAGCUCAGAGAAGGAUUAGAUGACGGUAAGUAGCAUAAAAUGAAGAUCAUAGAAUCACAGAAUUUAAGGCAAGAAGGGGUUGCCAGAUCAUUUAGUCUGACCUUCUGCAUGUGACAGGCCAGCCACACCACCCAGCCCCUGCACACUAAACCCAGCAACCAAAAUUAAACCAAGGUAUUACAACCCACGCGAGACUAAAGUAUUAUGAACCACAGGCAAAGAAUUGGAGGGACUGAGGUGCACCAGUGACCGAAGCCCCCGCAGCAACAUGGAAAUGAUUAAGUGAGAUACACCCAGAUAAUCCUGGCAAGUGACCUGCACUCACACACUGCAGUGAUUGGCCACGGUGCUUGUCAAUGUGACCUGUGGGGAAAUUCCUCCUGUCCCCAUAUAUGGUGAUCAGUUAGACUCCGAGCAUGCGAGCAAGACCCAGCCAGGCAAGCCCCUGAGAGAGAGAAUGCCCUGAGAGAGUACCAGCCCACCUCAUCCAGUGUGCCAUCUUCAGCUGUGUCCAUCACUGAUGCCUCAGAGGAAGGAGCCACCCCCCACCAAAAUAUAAUGUGUGAGGGGGGGGGGAAUCCCUUCUCGACUCCUGCAGAUGGCCAAAUGAAAACCCUCAAGCAGGAGAUUUUAGGAACACCAGACAUGAAACUGAAGGGACCCUCAAGGCUGCUGAGCACUGCCCCUAUCAUCACAAGCAACCCCAUCGUACAAUCACACUCAAACUGGUCCAGCUCAAAACUAAUUAAGUUUUUUCCCCCACAAUUCCUAUAGGGAGGCUGUUCCAGAACCUCACCCCUCUGAUGGUUAGAAACAUCCUUCUAAUUUCCUGCCUGAAUUUCUUAAUGGCCACUUUACACCUAUUUGUUCUUAUGCCAACAUUGUCCUUUGGCUUAAAUAAAUCUUCUCCCUUCCUGGAGUUUUACUCCCACAAUGUAUUUUGAGAAAGCAAUUAUAUCCCCUCUCAGCUUUCUUUUUGCAAGACUAAACAAACCAAGCUCCUCCAGUCUCCUCUUAUAAGAUAGGCCCUUCAACCUACUGAUCAUCCUAGUAGCUCUUCUCUGCAUCUGUUCCAGUUUAAGUUCAUCUUUCUUCAGCAUAGGUGACCGAAACUGCACACAGUGUCCCAGAGGAGGUCUAACCCCUGCCUUGUACAAUGGCAUUAAUACUUCUCUGUCUCUACUGGAAAUGCCUCGCCUAAUACAUUCUAGGAUCACAUUUGCCUUUUUCACAGCCAUAUUACAUUGGUGGCUCCUAGUCAUCCUUGAUUGGCGCACACGCCCAGAUCUCCCUCCUCCUCUGUCACUUCCAACUGCUGAGCUCCCAGCUGGUAGCAGAAAUUCUUAUUAUUAGAUCCUAAGUGCAUGACUUUGCACUUCAAACUAUUGAAUUUCAUCCCUUUUCUGUCACUUCAGUCUUCAAGAUAAUCCAGAUCUUCCUGUACAAUGUUCCGAUCCUCCUCUGUAUUGGCGAUGCCUCCCAACUUUGUAUUGUCAACAAAUGUCAUUAGCGCAUUCCUACUUUUCAUGCCAGUCAUAAAUAAAAGGAUUAAAUAAGAUUGAGGAACUCCACUAGUAACCUUCCUCCAGUCUAAUAGUUCACCUUUUAGCUCAACCCGUUGUCCUUUCCCCAUGAGCCAGUUCCUCAUCCACUUCACAAUUCUUGUACUAAUCCCUAUCUUCCCUAAUUUAACUAAUAAUUUUCCAUGUGACACCAUGUCAAAUGCUUUACUGAAGUCCAGCUAUAUCAGAUCUACUGCAUUUCCCUUGCCUAAAAAAUCAGUUAUCCUCCUUUGAGAAGAUAUCAGGUUAGUCUGGCAUAGUCCAUGUGGCAUUAUUUCCCUUUUUCCGUUUAUCUCCAUGAAUUUAAUUAUUCUUUCAUUCAUAAUUUAAUAGAUCUGUGCAAUUACAGACGUAGUAACCGAUGUAGUGCAGGCGAUGUAUGAUGCAAAGCGAAGAUGGGUGGGUCAUGUAGUCCGCCGUCAAGACAACAGGUGGACAACACACAUCAAUGACUGGAUCCCCAGAGACCACAAGCGAUCACUGGGCAGACUGAAAACGCGCUAGGCCGAUCCCAUGACAAAACUCUUCGGCCAGAAAUGGAAAGAACGUGCUCUUAACAAAAUCGAAUGGUGUGGUGUUGACUUGCAUUUGUGGAGGGACGGAUGAGGACAAGCUGGACAAAGGUGACUUUUUUCCCUGUCUUAAAUAUAGGUCUGAUGUUAGCUGUUCUCUAGUCACAUGGUAGCACCCCUGAAUAGAUAGAUUUAUUAAAAAUCCAUGCUCCCAGACUGGCUAUCUAAUGUGCCAGUCACUUUGAAAAAGGUAGGAGCACCCUGCGAAAGCAGAGAGUGGUACCAGUGGGAAGACAAGGAACUGACGCUGGAAUACAUAAGAAGGGAGACAGCAACGCACAGGGAAGACAGAAUUUCAUCCCCAGUUGUUUAACAGCUAUUUAGAAGCAACAGAGAGAUGGAGGCAAUUCUGUGCUGUGCCUGAGAUAUGUCUGCACUGGAGCUAGAAGAUGUAAAUUCCAGCUACGUGCCAGAUUCUAGGAGCCAGAACUGCACUAGAGCAAGCGUGCUGCAAACAGAAGUGUGGCCACAGCAGUGCAAGCAGCGGGACAGGCUCGACAUCCUGAGUUUGAUCCCAUCUGAGUCACUAGGCAGCUAGCCACUGACACCCCCGGGGCUACACUGCUAUUUUUAGUGCAGUAGCUCGCUCAGAGCUAGCGCGGGUAAGUCUCCUUGAGUUAGAAUUUACAGCUUCCAGCUCCAAUGCAGAUGUACUCUUAGAGGCACCACACAAACCUCACAGCCCAGGGGAAGUGUGAAGGGGAAGAAGCAAGGAAAAGGUGGUUAAAAGUCACCUAGUGUCCUCCUGAUUCUGGACUGCUCCAGGGAGCUACCUAAAGUUAGCAGCCCAAUCCGAACUGCCUGUGGGCAGCAGCCUAACCCAGUAUUGCUGUAGUGCUCUGGCCCUGCUCCUGUAACCCCUGCCAUAUGCAUACCCCUUCUAUUCGUGGCGGAAGCCUCAAAGGACAACCUGCAGCUGUCUGAUGCAGUGCCUGCACUGGUGGAAUUCUUCCAUGGCUGGCCCUAUAGCAGCAUACAGAGGAUGAUGUGGGGAUGUUGUUAUUGGGCUCAAAAUCACACCCAUUGACUGCAGCUUUAUCACAAUGGGCACCUACACCAGCUUCUCCUGCCCUUCUCAGCCUUUCCCCAGUCAUUCACUUACUGUGCCAGAUAAAUGGAAGGAGAAUAAGUACCUCAAUUUCAGGCAUGCGUAAGGCAAACAUUGCCCCUGUACACAUUUGGAUUAGUAUGGCUUUUGCACAUAUUUAAGUAUAAAACAGCGCGGGUUUGAAACAAAAGGUCACGUGUACUUUGCACAUCAGUUACACUGGUCUUUAAUGCAAAUCAAACAAUGCCUUCCUGUUGCAUCAUAAGUUAUUUGAAAAACAGCCAGAAAACAACCUCACUACCAUAAAAACAAAUAAUCUAUAAACUAUGCACAGUACAAUUACAGAGAAUUUUACAAGGGUGGUUUUAAUGCAAAUAACCGAAACAGACCAGCAUUACAGUAUAUUAUCUAGCUGUUGCCCUACAUCCACUUCCCCCACUCGGUUUCAAACUACAUGCAACCACAAACUGCAAGCAAGGUUAACAGUCACUUCUCGGUUUAGCAGUACUGUACAUAGGUCAGAGCCAGUGUGACUGCCUGGUCAGCGUAGCCUUGACUGACAGAUCCCCUUGCAAAAUGUUUUCAGAUCCCCAUGCAAAAUGCAGCAGGCAUCUAAUAAAAACAUUAGAUACAGAGAUAUCAGUGGAUAUCUCCAUCUUAAUUUCCGUCUCCCAAAAGCACACUCCACCCUCAUCCUGCACUUGCUCAGUAGGGUUUUGUUCUCUGUGGGUUUGUAAAGUCAGAGAGAGAUUUCUUGAGCCAUAGAAAUAUUGGGCAUGUAGGGUCACCCAGGGGCACAGUGUGGACAGAAACACCAUCAGUAUUGGCAGGGGUUACUGAUAAUGCAGUUCCCAUUUUGCUCACUCUUGAAAGUGCGGCCUUUUAUUUUUUAUUUUUGAAUUCUGGCAUUGUGCACUUUAUCUGGUCACCUUAUGUACCUUUUCAUGGAUCUCCUGCAUUGAUCCACUAAGGCCUACAUUACCACAGAGAACACUUUUCUGUUAACGUACACCUGGGCUUGUUGGGAAGAACACAGAAUAGGUUCUAUCAACAGCUUUGGCACAGUUCAGCAACCCAGCUAUCUAUAUCCUCAGUGAUUUUUGGCACAUGCAAAUGUAUGCUCAGUGUAAUAUAUACCCCAGUUUUCUACUAUUGUAGGGGCUCAUAGCUGUACCUAUUUUAAGGUUGCCCAACACUUCCCAUUGUAAGACCCUGUUUUCGGUUGCUUAUCAGUUGCCAAACUAUAACCACUUGGGCUGAAAUUUCUCAAGCUGAAUGUCUGCCUCGGCUGAAUACAUUUGGAAAGUUUCACCCUAAAUGCUCCAGCCAUUUCUGCAAAUGACCUUUUCUUUGAGAAACACUAGGGUCCCCGUACUCUGAAGCAGGCACUUGAAAUUUGGUAGGGGAAAAAUAACUCCCCAUGUAGACAAGCCCUAAGUCACUUUGAAAAUGGGAUUUAGUCUCCUUUUUCACAUAGGCAGUUAUGAAAAUUUUACAGCUGUUCAUUUACCACAUUGAAGUUGCUGCGCUUUCCACAGAUAGCCUGGCAAGGUCCCUGUUUCAGUCCCUGUUCAUCCCCACCACCCUAGGGAUCCCAGGUCUCCCUCAGCCAGGGACUCUCCAAACUCUCUUAACUACAUGAUCCUUGAGCCAGUGCCACCAGGAGUCAAGUUCUUGGAGAAGUCCCCUGAGCUCUGCUGUACAAGAACAGACUAUGCACCAGGUUUUAACACCACUUGGCCCAGCCAAACUGGUCUGGACAGAGGGGCAACUGGGCCAAGUUUCAGUGGCACUGUGACCCCAUGCAUCAGGUCACAAUGACCCUCACUGAUAUUUGGAUCAGCUGCCCCCUCCAUCUGUACAGAGAGGCGGCUGGGUCAAAUUUCAGUGGCAUUACGAUCACGCAGCUGGAGUGCCACUCCAGACUGCUCUGGCAAUAGCUGUACUGGCUUAGUAAGGGACCACUGUAUAAAAGUGGUAGGGCCAAUGACUCCCCUUCCCCCCAGCUCAGCGGCCAAUAGAACUUUGAGCAAGUACAAAAAAGUGGGGAGAGGGGGUUUGACCCCACCCCUGCCUAAUUGGCACCAUUGCCAGAGGGAGAAACUAGGACUAAGUGAGCAAGGAGACUGGGACUGGGAUGAGAAGCCUGAAGAGUGGAGACUGGGACAGGGUAGGCAGGGAGAAUGGGACUGGAUCAAGGAGCCAGAGGUGGAGAAGAGACAGGAAUGCCAGAAUGAAGGUUGUCUGUGCUACCUUAAUUUGGCCCCCUUGUGCAUACACAUUAUGAUCCAGUCUUUAAAUUCAUGAUCACAUACAGUACUAUUUUUUUCCCACAGAACCCCUGCCUCAUUCAGUGCACAGCAUGGACUUGCUUUGGGGAAGACUCAGGGCUGUGUUGUACAGGAGACUUGCCUGUAAGACCUCUACCUCAUUUGUUGCAAAACUUGGCAGGUGUGUACUGAAUGAAGCAGAGGUUUGCAGGAAGAGAAAAGGAGGAUCUCAUGGUUAAAGCAGAUGACUGCUGCCCUGGAGACCUGGAUUCUAUCCUUGCCUCUGCCGCGGAGUUCCCAUGUACUGCUGGGCAAUUCAUUCAAACUGAACUUUCCACAAGUGGUCACUAAUUGUAUGUUCCUCAUUUUCUGGGUGCCUGACUUGAGAGCCUGGGGUCUAAUUUGCAGAGCGUGGAGCAAUCACAGCUGCAAGUGUAGUCUGUGGGAGCAGAGCCUGAAUAUAUAAUGGUAAAUACUCUGAGAAAUCUCGCCUUAAGUGUCUUAGAUCAGGCAACUAAAAUGAGGAGAUGCUUCGGACCUUAAUCACUCUAUGCCUCAGUUCCCCCUCCAUAAAAUGGGAACAAUACCCCCCACAACACCUUGUGAAGAUAAGUAAUGUUUGUGAAGCUCUCAGAUACUGUAGGAGGAAAUUAAUAAUUCUGUCUUCUGAGCAGGGUUUGAACAGUGUACAGUAAAUAAGGCCUGGGGCUACACACUGAACAACGUGGUGAAAACAAAAUAUUGAACGGGUGCUCAUUAAGUGAUCACUGUCCAUUCUGUGCAGGGGCCCUGUGGAAUACUUAGUAUGUGAUCAUAUAAUUCUGUUCCCAAACACUUACCAACCUCCCCCUUCC